ACCAGACUCCUACGGGAGGCAGCAGUGGGGAAUAUUGCACAAUGGGGGAAACCCUGAUGCAGCGACGCCGCGUGAGUGAAGAAGUAUUUCGGUAUGUAAAGCUCUAUCAGCAGGGAAGAAGUUGACGGUACCUGAGUAAGAAGCCCCGGCUAACUACGUGCCAGCAGCCGCGGUAAUACGUAGGGGGGCAAGCGUUAUCCGGAUUUACUGGGUGUAAAGGGAGCGUAGACGGCAGUGCAAGUCUGAAGUGAAAGCCCCGGGCUUAACCCGGGAACUGCUUUGGAAACUGUACGGCUGGAGUGCUGGAGAGGUAAGCGGAAUUCCUAGUGUAGCGGUGAAAUGCGUAGAUAUUAGGAGGAACACCAGUGGCGAAGGCGGCUUACUGGACAGUAACUGACGUUGAGGCUCGAAAGCGUGGGGAGCAAACAGGAUUAGAUACCCGCGUA
rnacentral:rRNA from 1 species